rnacentral:rRNA from 1 species
GGAAAGUUGACGGGGCCCGCACAAGCGGUGGAGCAUGUGGUUUAAUUCGAUGCAACGCGAAGAACCUUACCUGGGCUUGACAUCUCGGGAAUCCCCUGGAAACAGGGAGUGCCCUUCGGGAGCCCGAAGACAGGUGCUGCAUGGCUGUCGUCAGCUCGUGUCGUGAGAUGUUGGGUUAAGUCCCGCAACGAGCGCAACCCUCGCCUUUAGUUGCCAGCAUUCAGUUGGGCACUCUAGAGGGACUGCCGGUGUCAAACCGGAGGAAGGUGGGGAUGACGUCAAGUCCUCAUGGCCUUUAUGUCUAGGGCUACACACGUACUACAAUGGCCGGUACAAAGGGCAGCCACUCAGCGAUGAGGCGCUAAUCCCAUAAAGCCGGUCUCAGUCCGGAUCGCAGUCUGCAACUCGACUGCGUGAAGUUGGAAUCGCUAGUAAUCGUAGAUCAGCAUGCUACGGUGAAUACGUUCCCGGGCCUU